rnacentral:rRNA from 1 species
UACGUAGGCAGCGAGCGUUGUUCGGAAUUACUGGGCGUAAAGGGCGCGUAGGCGGCGGAUCAAGUCAGGCGUGAAAUUCCUGGGCUUAACCUGGGGGCUGCGCUUGAGACUGAUGUGCUUGAGGAUGGCAGAGGCUCGUGGAAUUCCCAGUGUAGAGGUGAAAUUCGUAGAUAUUGGGAAGAACACCGGUGGCGAAGGCGGCGAGCUGGGCCAUUACUGACGCUGAGGCGCGACAGCGUGGGGGAGCAAACAGG